CGGCUUGACAGUUGGAAGAAUAGAUUUUUAAGCAAGGUGCUCAUUAUUAAAACUGUUGCACAAACAUUGCCUACAUAUACUGUAAGUGGUUUUCUUCUUCCUAAGUAUGUGUCACGAGUUGGAAAUUAUGAUGAAUUCUCAUUGGUGGGGAUCUAAGGGUAAUGUUCGAAAAAUCCAUUGGGCGAGCUGGAAUAAACUGUGUGCUUCUAAGAAGUUGGGAGGGAUGGGUUUCUGCAUCCUUCAUUGUUUUAAUCUUGCCAUGGUUUGUAAGCAAUGGUAGAGAAUUAUUUCUAAUCCGGAUUGGUUGCGAAGUAAAUUGUUAUGAGCUUGUUACAAAUCCUAGGUUUUGUUUGUUGAGGCAAGCAAAUUUGUCUUAAAGGGAGUGCGAUGGCGAGUUGGUGAUGAUAUAACCAUUUGAAUGUUUUAUGACCCUUGGCUAAAUGAUGAUUUGAAUUGAAAGGACGACAAUUAAAAUAAAUCAUUAAGAUAAAAAAGAAUAAGGAGUCCAAAUUAAAUAUUAGAAAUAAUUAAACAAGAACAUAAUAGAAUAACAUAGAAAUGAAACAAGAUAGAAAGAGAUAAAAGUGACAUGUAGAAAUCCUAAGGAGUCUUAGAAAUUAGAUGAAUCCAUAACCUCCUUCAAACAGUUCCGGUGAAUAGAAUUUAAUAAAUUUCCCCUCAUACGUCGUUGUUUGCUGCAAUAGGUUGUUGUUGCUCCUCUACUAUAGGCAGAUGCGAGUAGUUAGGAAGAAGCACCUGAGGACGGUUAGCUUAAAUGUAAUGUGGACACAACAACGUUUUCCACCAAGAACCAGACCAGUUUUGCUGGUGUUAUUAGAGAUGCUACAAGUAGGUUUAUUCAGGCUUUGUCGAGGCAUUUUCAAGGAGUCAUGGACGCUCAUGUGGCUGAAGCUAUUAUCAUGCGCAAGGCUCUUUCAUGGAUCAAGGAUUCAAACUGU
rnacentral:lncRNA from 1 species